rnacentral:tRNA from 1 species
GGCCCGUUGGUCAAGCGGCCUAAGACACCGCCCUUUCACGGCGGCUACAGGGGUUCGAAUCCCCUACGGGUCACCA